rnacentral:rRNA from 1 species
CCGGGUUGUAAACUGCUUUUGCAGGGGAAUAAACCCUCAUAUGUAUAUGAGGUUGAAUGUACUCUGAGAAUAAGGAUCGGCUAACUCCGUGC